rnacentral:tRNA from 1 species
AGUAGCUCAGCAGGAUAGAGCAACAGCCUCCUAAGCUGUAGGUCGUAGGUUCGAUUCCUAUCUG